rnacentral:miRNA from 1 species
CAGUAAAAUUUGAAUUUCAGGUAAACAACAAACACUUUGUUAGUGUAAGUAUGUCCUGUGCAAUAUUUGAGACAUACUUACACUAAAACCAAACUUCUUAUUUAUCUGAAAUUCAUA